rnacentral:rRNA from 1 species
UCGACUUUUCGAACGCAUAUUGCGGUAUCGGGCCCGCUCGAUACCACGCCUAUCUGAGGGUCGAAU